ACCAUCAUAGCUCAGUGGCAGAGCACUGGUCUUGUAAACCAGGGGUCGUGAGUUCUGUUUUCCCUGGUGGCU